CAAACCUUGGUAGAUCCGAUGGCGUCUCCAAUCGAGCUCCUGGUUAUGUUCUGAAUUUCUUUUUCUUUUUUGUUUUUUCAUAAUUUGCUGUUUUGAUUAUGGAACUUGUGAUUCAUUUAUGCGCGAGGUUUGUCUCUUGUUUUCCUGCUUAACAAUUUCGCUUCAUCUUAUGAUUUUCAUUCAUACUUGUACUUAGGUUUUGAAUUCUGGAAUUGUUGGCUUGGUGAUUCAUUAAAAUUAAGUUUUGUUCCUCACUAUUAUUUGUCAAAUUAGAACAUUCAAUUUAGGGCUUUAAAAGAGAUUAGGGCUUCAUAGUUUCUCAUACCAAUGCCAUGAUUCCAUAUUGGUUAAAGACGCGAAAGAUUUUUCGCCAAUUUUACUUAAAUAAAAAUAAUUCAGUCAUUUAUGAAACUAGAUUAAAGUUCCAGAGAAGUGGCAUUCCAGUGAAAUGGGCGUGGGCCUUUUUUUUUUUUUUUUUAAAAGUCGAGGCAAUUAUUCCACAGAGUGCGGGAGUAGUUGCUAAAUAGGUAGCUGUAACAACUCUCCGAUAAUGCACAAGAUAAACUGAUAGAAACAGCGUUUUUAUAUUAACUGCAGAAGAAAGGGGGUGAGAAGGUCAGAUAUGGAGAAUGGGGAUGACAAGAACAAACAACACUCAUUUACAUUGUUCGAGUCCAUUAUCCCGUAUCCCACACAGGGGCGAAUCCACAUGGUUAUAAGGGUGGUCACUUGACCUUCCUUCGUCAAAAAAUUACAUUGUGUAUAUAAGUACAAUAUUACGUUUUAGAGGUAUAUAACGCAUAUUGAACACCUUUUGUCGAGAAUUAUUUUCACUUCUUUUAAAUUUGAACAUCCUUGGGGAAAUUCUUAGCUUUGCCACUGAUCCCCCCACAAUUUUCCAAUCAGCCAAAUUUUCCCUCCACCCUAGGCUCGUCAUUCAUGACAGUAAGUAACUAGUUAUAUGUGCAUUUUUGCCUCUUUUUUCUCUUCAGUUAGAAAAUGUUAACAAUUCCCAGUGAGUCUAAUCUUAGUGUGAUGUACGUAUAAGGAUCACUUUUAGUUAACUGUUUUUUCCGAGUACUCUGUGGGGCUGUAGUUAUAAUAUGAAAGUACAAUGUCACACCUAGCAGGCCCAUAAUUUGCUGCUAUGCAUUAGGCAGUUGCUCUCUCAAGCCCAAUACUUGCUUUGUACAUGAUUUUACUGCCUCCGAUGCGCCCACGUUGUAUGCACCCAUCUCUUAUUAGAUCAAAAAGAAAUCUGUGUCCAUGCCAUGUAACAUUGGAAUAUGCAAAACCAACAACAUUGCUGCGCUAAUUUUAGAAAAUGUAAACCUUCUAAUAUAUAGUAAUAUGCAAAAACAUGCCCUUUAGGAUGUUUUGCUUCCCAUAACUUCCUGAAAUCUGUGUACCAUGCCAUGUGAAGGUACAAGGUAGUACCAUAUCAUGUGAAAGUUGACAUCCGAAAAUCAUUUCUACCAUUGCUCAGUCAUCUACCGUUAUUAUUGUUUAGCCCUUUCACACUAACCUUUCCUUAUCCCUCAUCCCUGUUUUAGGGAUUUCGCUUUGCCUUUGAUUUGCUUGCUUCUCUAUUCUUCUUAUUUUUGCUUUUGCGAGCAUCAUCGGAGGCAUUGUCAAUAUGGCUAACCUCACCGCUGGUAAAAUUCUAUCCAGUAGCACCUUGUACCGAAAGGGUCAAGCCUCAUUUAAUAUAUACUACAUCUCUUUGUGACAACAAGAUUCCUGUUAUCUCUUUGUGACAACAAGAUACCUGUUUUCUCUUUGUGACAAUAGAAAGUCUUGUAUUCUCUUUGUGACAAUAGGAAGUCCUGUUAUCUCUUUGUAACAAUAAGAAAGUCCUGUAUUCUCUUUAUGACAAUGGAAUUCCUGUUAUCUCUAUGUGACAAUAGAAUGUCAUGUUGGGGUUGUUUUGAUUAUUUCACUUUUCGUACGAGUGUUGUGAAUUUCUCAACUUAAUGUAUUUUCAUUAAAUGCUAAGGACAGUACAGACAUUGGUAAUGUUCUCAAAGCGAAUUUUCCUUUGUUUCCAGGCUUCUUCUUUUCUUGCACUGAAGAAUUUUUAGUAUGCUUUGAACUAAGGAUGCUUUGUAGUUUGUUAUUUUUCUGAAUAAACUCGAGGACCUUACUGCAAAGCAUUCAAUGCGAUAAGGAUUUUUAUUUGUUGAGGUUAUGAGGAGGAUUCAUGUAGUGCAGCUCAUAUUUUGAAAGACCCAAUGGAAUUUAGUUGUCUUUCAUUGACAAUGGACUCUGAAUGAACAAUAGGUGGACGAAGGAGGAAGCGCGGCGGUGGAGGAGGAUGUGGCCGCAGAGCAGUGGUUGAGAACGGCAGAGCAUCUUGUAAGUUGAUAAUACAGCAGCACCGUCAGCUUUCUCACAUCAGAACUGUUCCUCAGCUUCUUGCCGGUGAAGUUUCCAGUGCCGUCAGCAAGACAUGCACUGACCCCUUGCUCCCCUUAUCAUUCUCUUUCAGGAAUGCACAUGGAUGCUGGUAGCUUAAAAAAGGCAAGUAUAUGGCAAGAGGCAUCACGUAUUGUACAUGAAGAAGGGUAUCAGGCAUUUUAGAAUGGGAAUUUGGUCACACUUUCUCAACGCUUCCAUAUUCCUCUGUCAGCUUCUAUGCAUUUUUGAACGCUACAAUAAUGCAAAUAAAGGUGUUGUAGUUGAUUUUGGGAGUUGAAAGCCAAGGAGAGAAUAUAGCUGCAGACUUUUGUAUAGGACUUGUAGGCGGUGGAUUAUCUGGGAUAACAGCUGCUUCUGUUACAUACUCCUUGGAUCAUGUUAGUACGCGUGUUGCAGCUCAGGUGAUUGGAAUUCGGCUGGCAUUUUCAUUUGGAUUGGCUAAUAGUUUUGGUUUUGAAAUAUCUUUAUUUGCUAAUUAAUGUAUUUUUUAAAUGGCGUGGAGACAAAGUCCAAAGGGGGGAAAAGGGGAUCAAAAGAGCUACUUUUAAUGGUGUGAUAGGAGAAAGUUUUUGUUCAGUAAUUGAAACAGUUAUGAUCUUGAUAACAUGAACCAAGUUUUUCGGUUUUUCUUUU